rnacentral:rRNA from 1 species
CGAACGCUGGCGGCGUGCCUAAUACAUGCAAGUCGAGCGAGUCUUCGGACUAGCGGCGGACGGGUGAGUAACACGUAGGCAACCUGCCUCUCAGACUGGGAUAACAUAGGGAAACUUAUGCUAAUACCGGAUAGGUUUUUGGAUCGCAUGAUCCGAAAAGAAAAGNCGGCUUCGGCUGUCACUGGGAGAUGGGCCUGCGGCGCAUUAGCUAGUUGGUGGGGUAACGGCCUACCAAGGCGACGAUGCGUAGCCGACCUGAGAGGGUGACCGGCCACACUGGGACUGAGACACGGCCCAGACUCCUACGGGAGGCAGCAGUAGGGAAUUUUCCACAAUGGACGAAAGUCUGAUGGAGCAACGCCGCGUGAACGAUGAAGGUCUU